rnacentral:tRNA from 2 species
UAUAAUUUAGUAUAGUAUGUACAUAGAUUUUUGAUAUCUAAAGAAAUAGUUUAAAUCUGUUAAUUAUAA